rnacentral:rRNA from 1 species
AUUGAACGCUGGCGGCAUGCUUUACACAUGCAAGUCGAACGGUAACAGGCCGCAAGGUGCUGACGAGUGGCGAACGGGUGAGUAAUGCAUCGGAACGUGCCCAGUCGUGGGGGAUAACUACUCGAAAGAGUAGCUAAUACCGCAUACGAUCUAUGGAUGAAAGCGGGGGACCGUAAGGCCUCGCGCGAUUGGAUCGGCCGAUGUCAGAUUAGGUAGUUGGUGGGGUAAAGGCUCACCAAGCCAACGAUCUGUAGCUGGUAUGAGAGGACGACCAGCCACACUGGGACUGAGACACGGCCCAGACUCCUACGGGAGGCAGCAGUGGGGAAUUUUGGACAAAGGGCGCAAGCCUGAUCCAGCAAUGCCGCGUGCAGGAAGAAGGCCUUCGGGUUGUAAACUGCUUUUGUACGGAACGAAACGGCUCUGGUUAAUACCCGGGGCUAAUGACGGUACCGUAAGAAUAAGCACCGGCUAACUACGUG